rnacentral:tRNA from 1 species
UCCCUGGUGGCUCAGAUGGUAAAGUAUCUGCCUGCAAUUCAGGAGACCCGGGUUUGAUCCCUGGAUUGGGAA